rnacentral:rRNA from 1 species
CCCUAUUAUUUUUAUUUAAAUGUCUAUUAUAAGGUAGUAAAUGAUAUAUUCAGGAAACUUAAAGAAUUUGGCGGUGUUUAUUCUUAUUAGAGGAAUAUGUUUUAAGAUGAUACUCCCCAAAAAUUUUACUUAGUUUAUUUAUUUUGUAUAUCUCCGUCUAAAAAAGUUUUUUAAAAAUAUUCUUUGAAAUUUUAUUUGAAUAAAAGUCAGGUCACGAUGCAGAUUAUAAUUAAGAAAAAAUGUAUUACAAUAAAGUUAUUUUUGGAAUUAUUUUGUAAUAAAAUAAUGAAAUUGGAUUUAAUAGUAAAAAUUUUUUAGUAUAAAAUUUUGAAUUUUGUAAAUUAAUAUGCACACAUCGCCC